UAGCCGACCUCCCUCCCCCGAGGUCGUCGCGUCCGGGCAGAUUUAGCUGUCAGAGAUUCCCGUUAGCUUUCCGAGGCACUGCCAGCUGCUUCGCCCAAGGGACUGGGGAGAAACAGUGUGAGCUACUGACUACACGGACUGAUGGAUGAGGCCAGACUUCCCUGGGACCCCGGGACACUUUCUUCCAUCCCCAAUCCCCCGUCGCGGAUAGUGCUGAGCUAGGUAGCAGGGUUGCCCGAGCUGUGCUCCGGGGAGCUCAGCCACUUCUCAAGACAAUCAAAUUUGGACGACCGAAUAAGCUGGCUGCAAAUUGAUCUGAGAACCCGGGAGAAGUUGCUCACCUCUCGAUUUUGCUACGGGAAAUUAUCUGGGGACGGAGGACAAAAGGCACAGAGGCGUGCUCUUUCUUGCGCACACUUUCGGCCGACCUGCCUCCGAGCAAGGCGCGCUCUAGGACUGCUACACCCCACGCUCCUAGCAACUUUAGGGACCAAGCGGCAGAGCUAGACCUUGUUUCAGCUAGAGCGCUGCAUCUCCGGGAGCGAUCUCCGGAUCUCCGGCUCAGUGAGCUGGACCUGGCUCCGGAGUCGGCCGCUUCUUACGAUUUACAUUUUAGAGUUUUGUUUUGCUUUGUUCGGUAUUUUCCUCAACUCUUACUAAGAUAGGGUAGAUUAAAACAAUCGAAAGUGCUCCUUAUCUUCGUGCCCAGGAUCCCACAACCUCUCAACCGCCCACUAGGUCUUUCCUCAGACCAGAGAGAUUUGUCAUCCCUUUGGGUGGGAGGGAACAAUAUGUUAUUAUUCUCGUUUCUCAAUAAGGAAAACAGAGUCUCUAUAA